rnacentral:rRNA from 1 species
CCUACGGGGUGCAGCAGUGAGGAAUAUUGGUCAAUGGGCUUACGCCUGAACCAGCCAAGUCGCGUGAGGGAAGACUGCCCUAUGGGUUGUAAACCUCUUUUGUCAGGGAGCAACGCCGGCUACGUGUAGCCGGACUGAGAGUACCUGAAGAAAAAGCAUCGGCUAACUCCGUGCCAGCAGCCGCGGUAAUACGGGGGAUGCGAGUGUUAUCCGGAUUUAUUGGGUUUAAAGGGUGCGUAGGCGGAAUGCCAAGUCAGCGGUAAAAUCGCGGGGCUCAACCUCGCUCCGCCGUUGAAACUGGCGUUCUGGAGUGGGCGAGAAGUAUGCGGAAUGCGUGGUGUAGCGGUGAAAUGCAUAGCUAUCACGCAGAACUCCGAUUGCGAAGGCAGCAUACCGGCGCCCAACUGACGCUGAAGCACGAAAGCGUGGGUAUCGAACAGGAUUAGAUACCCGGGUAGUC